GAUGAACGCUAGCGGCAGGCCUAACACAUGCAAGUCGAGGGAGAGGUUACCUUCGGGUAACCAAAACCGGCGCACGGGUGCGUAACGCGUAUACAAUCUGCCUUUCACAUAGGGAUAGCCCGAAGAAAUUUGGAUUAAUACCUAAUGGUAUAUAAGAGCGGCAUCGUUUUUAUAUUAAAGCUACGGUGGUGAAAGAUGAGUAUGCGUUCUAUUAGCUAGUUGGAGAGGUAACGGCUCCCCAAGGCGACGAUAGAUAGGGGUUCUGAGAGGGAUGUCCCCCACACUGGUACUGAGAUACGGACCAGACUCCUACGGGAGGCAGCAGUGAGGAAUAGUGGACAAUGGUCGGAAGACUGAUCCAGCCAUGCCGCGUGCAGGAUGAAGGUCCUAUGGAUGGUAAACUGCUUUUGUAAGGGAAGAAUAAGGAGUACGUGUACUUUGAUGACGGUACCUUACGAAUAAGCAUCGGCUAACUCCGUG
rnacentral:rRNA from 1 species